CUUAGAAGCAGCCAUCAUUUAAAGAAAGCGUAAUAGCUCACUGGUCGAGUCGGCCUGCGCGGAAGAUGUAACGGGGCUAAACCAUGCACCGAAGCUGCGGCAGCGACACUCAGGUGUUGUUGGGUAGGGGAGCGUUCUGUAAGCCUGCGAAGGUGGCCUGUGAGGGUUGCUGGAGGUAUCAGAAGUGCGAAUGCUGACAUAAGUAACGAUAAAGCGGGUGAAAAGCCCGCUCGCCGGAAGACCAAGGGUUCCUGUCCAACGUUAAUCGGGGCAGGGUGAGUCGACCCCUAAGGCGAGGCCGAAAGGCGUAGUCGAUGGGAAACGGGUUAAUAUUCCCGUACUUGGUGUUACUGCGAAGGGGGGACGGAGAAGGCUAUGUUGGCCGGGCGACGGUUGUCCCGGUUUAAGCGUGUAGGUGUGUGUUCCAGGUAAAUCCGGUUCACUUUAACACUGAGGCGUGAUGACGAGGCACUACGGUGCUGAAGCAACAAAUGCCCUGCUUCCAGGAAAAGCCUCUAAGCAUCAGGUAACAUCAAAUCGUACCCCAAACCGACACAGGUGGUCAGGUAGAGAAUACCAAGGCGCUUGAGAGAACUCGGGUGAAGGAACUAGGCAAAAUGGUGCCGUAACUUCGGGAGAAGGCACGCUGACACGUAGGUGAAGUGAUUUACUCAUGGAGCUGAAGUCAGUCGAAGAUACCAGCUGGCUGCAACUGUUUAUUAAAAACACAGCACUGUGCAAACACGAAAGUGGACGUAUACGGUGUGACGCCUGCCCGGUGCCGGAAGGUUAAUUGAUGGGGUCAGCGCAAGCGAAGCUCCUGAUCGAAGCCCCGGUAAACGGCGGCCGUAACUAUAACGGUCCUAAGGUAGCGAAAUUCCUUGUCGGGUAAGUUCCGACCUGCACGAAUGGCGUAAUGAUGGCCAGGCUGUCUCCACCCGAGACUCAGUGAAAUUGAACUCGCUGUGAAGAUGCAGUGUACCCGCGGCAAGACGGAAAGACCCCGUGAACCUUUACUAUAGCUUGACACUGAACAUUGAGCCUUGAUGUGUAGGAUAGGUGGGAGGCUUUGAAGUGUGGACGCCAGUCUGCAUGGAGCCGGCCUUGAAAUACCACCCUUUAAUGUUUGAUGUUCUAACGUGGACCCGUGAUCCGGGUUGCGGACAGUGUCUGGUGGGUAGUUUGACUGGGGCGGUCUCCUCCUAAAGAGUAACGGAGGAGCACGAAGGUUGGCUAAUCCUGGUCGGACAUCAGGAGGUUAGUGCAAUGGCAUAAGCCAGCUUGACUGCGAGCGUGACGGCGCGAGCAGGUGCGAAAGCAGGUCAUAGUGAUCCGGUGGUUCUGAAUGGAAGGGCCAUCGCUCAACGGAUAAAAGGUACUCCGGGGAUAACAGGCUGAUACCGCCCAAGAGUUCAUAUCGACGGCGGUGUUUGGCACCUCGAUGUCGGCUCAUCACAUCCUGGGGCUGAAGUAGGUCCCAAGGGUAUGGCUGUUCGCCAUUUAAAGUGGUACGCGAGCUGGGUUUAGAACGUCGUGAGACAGUUCGGUCCCUAUCUGCCGUGGGCGCUGGAGAACUGAGGGGGGCUGCUCCUAGUACGAGAGGACCGGAGUGGACGCAUCACUGGUGUUCGGGUUGUCAUGCCAAUGGCACUGCCCGGUAGCUAAAUGCGGAAGAGAUAAGUGCUGAAAGCAUCUAAGCACGAAACUUGCCCCGAGAUGAGUUCUCCCUGAGACUUUAGGUCUCCUGAAGGAACGUUGAAGACGACGACGUUGAUAGGCCGGGUGUGUAAGCGCAGCGAUGCGUUGAGCUAACCGGUACUAAUGAACCGUGAGGCUUAACCUUACA
rnacentral:rRNA from 2 species